AUAAAUUCCACAGCCUUUUGGCUUAGAUCAAGUGUAGUAUCUGUUCUUUUCAGUUUAAUAUCUGAAACGGUUCUAUUUGAACCUUCUUAUAUUAAUCUUAUUUUUGAAAUUGGGUUGUUGGCCUCUGAGCUUGCUCAUGUCGACUGACCACUGUGUCACUGGUAUUGUACUGCCUCCAGUUGACGCGACCUCUU
rnacentral:snRNA from 1 species